GACGAACGCUGGCGGCGCGCCUAACACAUGCAAGUCGAACGGAGUUACUCUGAAUGAAGUUUUCGGAUGGAUUUUGGAUUAACUUAGUGGCGAACGGGUGAGUAACGCGUGAGUAACCUGCCCUGGAGUGGGGGACAACAGUUGGAAACGACUGCUAAUACCGCAUAAGCCCACAGUGCCGCAUGGCACAGCGGGAAAAGGAUUUAUUCGCUUCAGGAUGGACUCGCGUCCAAUUAGCUAGUUGGUGAGGUAACGGCCCACCAAGGCGACGAUUGGUAGCCGGACUGAGAGGUUGAACGGCCACAUUGGGACUGAGACACGGCCCAGACUCCUACGGGAGGGCAGCAGUGGGGGAUAUUGCACAAUGGGGGAAACCCUGGAUGCAGCGACGCCGCGUGGAGGAAGAAGGUUUUCGGAUUGGUAAACUUCUUUUAUACGGGAAUAAGUAGCAGUAUGCAUACUGUUUUG
rnacentral:rRNA from 1 species